CAUAAUCAAUUGCGGCAGUUGUUUUGCUAAUUAAGUUGUAUUAAAAUCAUCCACAUUCUAGAAACCAAGUCCACCGUUACGACAAAACUUAUUUAUUUUUUAUUUUAUUUUUCUUAUUUUUUUUUAAUUUUAAAUUUCCAUUAAAACAAACAACAAGUUAUAAGACAAGUGUCCAAACAUAAGCACACAGGCUCGAAAACAUACACAUCCAAAAGCUCAAAUCCAAGGCGCGCAGGCCCGACAACAAGAGCAAAGCCCAAAACAACCAAAGAAGCUGAAACUUAAAAAUAGCAGGCCCAAAAACCAAAAGAACGAAGAGGGAACGACCCAAGGACUCAAAAAACUCAUAAGGAAACCUGAACCGCAGAGGAGGACCUAACUGAAGAGACGGAACCAAGUAGCAAGCAGAGAGGCACCCGGAGGAGGAGAGGGAGAGCAGAGAGGCACUAUGACAAAAUUUAUCUCAUGCCUUCCACUGUAAACGUUUUGUUCGUCCAUUGGAACUCUACCAAAAUUUCGUUACUACAUUCCUAAGUUUUGAUGUUACUGAUUUUGGUAAUCUAAAACAAGACAAUACAUAAGUAAGCAAUGCAUCUGGUACUGAUUUAAUCAAUACUUCUUUGCCAUCUUUAGAUAAGAAUUUUGUAAACCAACCAUUUAUUCUAUUAUGUAAAUAUUUU
rnacentral:sRNA from 1 species